UCUAAAAUGGCAGAAUAGUGCAAUGAAUUUAAGCUUCAUAAAUAAAGAAUCUUUUUUUAGAA
rnacentral:tRNA from 1 species